GAGAGAUGGUAGGCUAGAGCUCUCUCCAUGAUGAGUAGGCUUAUCCUGAUGAGGUUAGUUCCUGAUGAGGUUAGUUCUGAGUGUUAUACUUGUUUAUUUUUUAUCUAACACUAUUCUCCCGAAAACCCAAGUGGUGAAGAUCAAGCAGUAUUUUCAAAGAUUUUUGCGGGGCCCAAGGCCCGGAGGUGGCGAUGUAUACAUGCUAGCCUGGGAU
rnacentral:lncRNA from 1 species